rnacentral:rRNA from 1 species
UACGAAGGGGGCUAGCGUUGCUCGGAAUUACUGGGCGUAAAGGGCGCGUAGGCGGACAGUUUAGUCAGAGGUGAAAGCCCAGGGCUCAACCUUGGAAUUGCCUUUGAUACUGGCUGUCUUGAGUACGGGAGAGGUGAGUGGAACUCCGAGUGUAGAGGUGAAAUUCGUAGAUAUUCGGAAGAACACCAGUGGCGAAGGCGACUCACUGGCCCGGUACUGACGCUGAGGUGCGAAAGCGUGGGGAGCAAACAGG